UACGGGGGGGGCAAGCGUUGUUCGGAAUUACUGGGCGUAAAGGGCUCGUAGGCGGCCAACUAAGUCAGACGUGAAAUCCCUCGGCUUAACCGGGGAACUGCGUCUGAUACUGGAUGGCUUGAGAUUGGGAGAGGGAUGUGGAAUUCCAGGUGUAGCGGUGAAAUGCGUAGAUAUCUGGAGGAACACCGGUGGCGAAGGCGGCAUCCUGGACCAACACUGACGCUGAGGAGCGAAAGCGUGGGGAGCGAACAGG
rnacentral:rRNA from 1 species